CAUAGCUGAGGGGUUAAGCGCUUGUCUUUCGAACUAGAGGUCCUGGGUUCGAAUCCAAGUG
rnacentral:tRNA from 1 species